UACGAAGGGGGCGAGCGUUGUUCGGAAUUCCUGGGCGUAAAGGGCGCGUAGGCGGCGACCCAAGUCAGAUGUGAAAGUCCUGGGCUUAACCUGGGGACUGCAUUUGAUACUGGGUUGCUUGAAUUCGGGAGAGGAUAGCGGAAUUCCCAGUGUAGAGGUGAAAUUCGUAGAUAUUGGGAAGAACACCGGUGGCGAAGGCGGCUAUCUGGACCGACAUUGACGCUGAGGCGCGAAAGCGUGGGGAGCAAACAGG
rnacentral:rRNA from 1 species